rnacentral:rRNA from 1 species
GACGAACGCUGGCGGCGUGCUUAACACAUGCAAGUCGAACGGAAAGGCCCUGCUCUUGUGGGGUGCUCGAGUGGCGAACGGGUGAGUAACACGUGAGUAACCUGCCCUUGACUUUGGGAUAACUUCAGGAAACUGGGGCUAAUACCGCAUAGGAGCUCCUGCUGCACGGUGGGGGUUGGAAAGUUUCGGCGGUUUGGGAUGGACUCGCGGCUUAUCCGCUUGUUGGGGGGGUAGUGGCUUACCAAGGCUUUGACGGGUAGCCGGCCUGAGAGGGUGACCGGCGACAUGAGGACUGAGGGACGGAGCAGUCUGCUACGGUAGGCAGCGGUGGGGAAUAUUGCGCAAUGGGCGGAAGCCUGAUGCAGCAGCGCCGCGUGCGGGAUGACGGCCUUCGGGUUGUAAACCGCUUUCGCCUGUGACGAGGCGUGAGUGACGGUAAUGAGUAAAGAAGCACCGGCUAACUACGUG